rnacentral:rRNA from 1 species
CAGUAGCCGCGGUAAUACAGAGGGUGCGAGCGUUAAUCGGAUUUACUGGGCGUAAAGCGUGCGUAGGCGGCUAAUUGAGUCGGAUGUGAAAUCCCCGAGCUUAACUUGGUAAUUGCAUUCGAUACUGGUUAGCUAGAGUGUGGGAGAGGAUGGUAGAAUUCCAGGUGUAGCGGUGAAAUGCGUAGAGAUCUGGAGGAAUACCGAUGGCGAAGGCAGCCAUCUGGCCUAACACUGACGCUGAGGUACGAAAGCAUGGGGAGCAAACAGGAUUAGAGACCCCCGUAGUCCCUGUCUCUUAUAC